CGGCAAUUAAAUUCCUAGAGGAACUUGUUUAAUAAUCGACAAUCCACGUUAUUUCUUACUUUUAUUCAAAAUUUAUAUACCGCCAUUACAAGAAUUAAUUUAAAAAUUCAAUUCUAAAUAAUUAUAUAACACAUUAGGUAAAGGUGUAAUCUAUAUAAAAGAAUAAAUGAGUUACAUUAAAUUAAAAUUUAAGAAAAAUUAUAAAACUAUCUUAGGAAAAAGGAUUUAGAAGUAUUAUUAUAUAAUAAUAAUUUAUUUUGAAAUAAAAUUAAUUGUGC
rnacentral:rRNA from 1 species